rnacentral:rRNA from 1 species
AUUGAACGCUGGCGGCAUGCCUUACACAUGCAAGUCGAACGGCAGCACGGGGGCAACCCUGGUGGCGAGUGGCGAACGGGUGAGUAAUGCAUCGGAACGUGCCCAGUAGUGGGGGAUAACCAGUCGAAAGACUGGCUAAUACCGCAUACGACCUACGGGUGAAAGCGGGGGACCGUAAGGCCUCGCGCUAUUGGAGCGGCCGAUGUCUGAUUAGCUAGUUGGCGGGGUAAAGGCCCACCAAGGCGACGAUCAGUAGCUGGUCUGAGAGGACGACCAGCCACACUGGGACUGAGACACGGCCCAGACUCCUACGGGAGGCAGCAGUGGGGAAUUUUGGACAAUGGGCGAAAGCCUGAUCCAGCCAUGCCGCGUGCGGGGAGAAGGCCUUCGGGUUGUAAACCGCUUUUGGCAGGAACGAAACGGCGCGGGCCAAUACCCCGCGCUAAUGACGGUACCUGCAGAAUAAGCACCGGCUAACUACGUGCCAGCCGCCGCCGUAACAC